GCUCCUGUAGCUCAGUUGGUUAGAGCCCUGCAUUCCGUGCAGACGGUCAAGGGUUCGAUCCCCUCCAGGAACA
rnacentral:tRNA from 1 species